GACGAACGCUGGCGGCGUGCUUAACACAUGCAAGUCGAGCGAUGAAGUUCCUUCGGGAAUGGAUUAGCGGCGGACGGGUGAGUAACACGUGGGUAACCUGCCUCAUAGAGGGGAAUAGCCUUUCGAAAGGAAGAUUAAUACGGCAUAAGAUUGUAGCUUCGCAUGAAGUAGCAAUUAAAGGAGUAAUCCGCUAUGAGAUGGACCCGCGUCGCAUUAGCUAGUUGGUGAGGUAAGGGCUCACCAAGGCGACGAUGCGUAGCCGACCUGAGAGGGUGAUCGGCCACAUUGGGACUGGGACACGGCCCAGACUCCUACGGGAGGCAGCAGUGGGGAAUAUUGCACAAUGGGGGAAACCCUGAUGCAGCAGCGCCGCGUGAGUGAUGACGGUCUUCGGAUUGUAAAGCUCUGUCUUCAGGGACGAUAAUGACGGUACCUGAGGAGGAAGCCACGGCUAACUACGUGCCAGCCGCCGCCGUAA
rnacentral:rRNA from 1 species